rnacentral:rRNA from 1 species
UAGGGAAUCUUCCGCAAUGGACGCAAGUCUGACGGAGCAACGCCGCGUGAGUGAAGAAGGAUUUCGGUUCGUAAAACUCUGUUGUUAGAGAAGAACAGCGCAUAGAGUAACUGUUAUGCGUGUGACGGUAUCUAACCAGAAAGCCACGGCUAACUACGUGCCAGCAGCCGCGGUAAUACGUAGGUGGCAAGCGUUGUCCGGAUUUAUUGGGCGUAAAGCGAGCGCAGGCGGUCAAUUAAGUCUGAUGUGAAAGCCCCCGGCUCAACCGGGGAGGGUCAUUGGAAACUGGUUGACUUGAGUGCAGAAGAGGAGAGUGGAAUUCCAUGUGUAGCGGUGAAAUGCGUAGAUAUAUGGAGGAACACCAGUGGCGAAAGCGGCUCUCUGGUCUGUAACUGACGCUGAGGCUCGAAAGCGUGGGUAGCAAACAGG